rnacentral:siRNA from 1 species
AAUAAAUAAAUACUUGAGUGUGCG